GAUGAAAACGUAGCGAAAUGCGAUAAGUAAUGUGAAUUGCAGAAUUCAGUGAAUCAUCGAAUCUUUGAACGCACAUUGCGCCCCCUGGUAUUCCGGGGGGCAUGCCUGUUCGAGCGUCAUUUCAACCCUCAAGCUCUGCUUGGUAUUGGGCGUCGCCGGGGAGUCUCCCCGGCGUGCCUCAAAGCCAUCGGCGGUGGUGCCUUUCUCUAAGCGUGGUAGAAUUUUUAUUCGCUUCUGAGUUGGGCUUCGCCUGCCGGACAAACCGGGCCCUCGCGGCCCACCUUAUCAGGUUGACCUCGGAUCAGGUAGGGAUACCCGCUGAACUUAAGCAUAUCAAUAAGCGGAGGA
rnacentral:misc_RNA from 1 species